CCUACGGGUGGCAGCAGUGGGGGAUAUUGCACAAUGGGGGGAACCCUGAUGCAGCGACGCCGCGUGGGUGAAGGAGUGCUUCGGCAUGUAAAGCCCUAUCGGCAGGGAAGAAGCAAGACGGUACCUGACUAAGAAGCCCCGGCUAACUACGUGCCAGCAGCCGCGUUAAUACGUAGGGGGCGAGCGUUAUCCGGAUUCACUGGGGGUAAAGGGAGCGUAGACGGCCAAGCAAGCCAGGGGUGAAAGCCCGGGGCCCAACCCCGGGACUGCCCUUAGAACGGCAUGGCUAGAGUGCGAGAGGGGCAGGCGGAAUUCCUGGUGUAGCGGUGAAAUGCGUAGAUAUCGGGAGGAACACCAGCGGCGAAGGCGGCCUGCUGGACCGCGACUGACGUUGAGGCUCGAAAGCGUGGGGAGCGAACAGGAUUAGAUACCCCUGUAGUC
rnacentral:rRNA from 1 species